rnacentral:rRNA from 1 species
CAGUCGCCGCGGUAAAACGGAGGGUGCAAGCGUUAAUCGGAAUUACUGGGCGUAAAGCGCACGCAGGCGGUCUGACAAGUCAGAUGUGAAAUCCCCGGGCUUAACCUGGGAACUGCAUUUGAAACUGUCAGGCUGGAGUCUUGUAGAGGGGGGUGGAAUUCCAGGUGUAGCGGUGAAAUGCGUAGAGAUCUGGAGGAAUACCGGUGGCGAAGGCGGCCCCCUGGACAAAGACUGACGCUCAGGUGCGAAAGCGUGGGGAGCAAACAGGAUUAGAUACCCGCGUAGUCCCUGUCUCUUAUAA